rnacentral:rRNA from 1 species
AAGCGUUGUUCGGAAUUACUGGGCGUAAAGGGCUCGUAGGCGGCCAACUAAGUCAUACGUGAAAUCCCUCAGCUUAACUGGGGAACUGCGUGUGAUACUGGAUGGCUUGGAUUUGGGAGAGGGAUGCGGAAUUCCAGGUGUAGCGGUGAAAUGCGUAGAUAUCAGGAAGAACACCUAUGGCGAAGGCAGCUCUCUGGGACGGUACUGACGCUGAGACGCGAAAGCGUGGGGAGCGAACAGG